rnacentral:rRNA from 1 species
UGAUCCAACCAUGAAGCGUGCAGGAAGAGGGCCCUAUGGGUUAAAAAAGUUUGGGAGGGGAAGAAACACCCCCACAGGUGGGAAAUUGACGGGACCGUAAGAAUAAGCAUCGGCUAACUCCGUGCCAGCAGCCGCGGUAAUACGGAGGAUGCAAGCGUUAUCCGGAAUCAUUGGGUUUAAAGGGUCCGUAGGCGGACAAUUAAGUCAGAGGUGAAAUUGUGGAGCUCAACCGUAGAACUGCCUUUGAAACUGGUUGUCUUGAAUCGUUGUGAAGUGGUUAGAAUGAGCAGUGUAGCGGUGAAAUGCUUAGAGAUAGCUCAGAAUACCGAUUGCGAAGGCAGAUCACUAACAACGUAUUGACGCUGAGGGACGAAAGCGUGGGGAGCGAACAGGAUUAGAUACCCUGGUAGUCCACG